CCUACGGGAGGCAGCAGUGGGGAAUCUUGCGCAAUGGGCGAAAGCCUGACGCAGCCAUGCCGCGUGUAUGAUGAAGGUCUUAGGAUUGUAAAAUACUUUCACCGGUGAAGAUAAUGACUGUAGCCGGAGAAGAAGCCCCGGCUAACUUCGUGCCAGCAGCCGCGGUAAUACGAAGGGGGCUAGCGUUGCUCGGAAUUACUGGGCGUAAAGGGAGCGUAGGCGGACAUUUAAGUCAGGGGUGAAAUCCCAGAGCUCAACUCUGGAACUGCCUUUGAUACUGGGUGUCUUGAGUGUGAUAGAGGUAUGUGGAACUCCGAGUGUAGAGGUGAAAUUCGUAGAUAUUCGGAAGAACACCAGUGGCGAAGGCGACAUACUGGAUCAUUACUGACGCUGAGGCUCGAAAGCGUGGGGAGCAAACAGGAUUAGAUACCCUGGUAGUCCACGCCGUAAACGAUGAUUGCUAGUUGUCGGGAUGUUUACAUCUCGGUGACGCANCACGCAUANANANCGCGNGGAGUACGGUCGCAGAUAAACUACAAGAGUAGUAGACGCGAGAGAGCGACGACGACGACGACGAGGAGGAGG
rnacentral:rRNA from 1 species